rnacentral:rRNA from 1 species
AGAGUUUGAUCCUGGCUCAGGAUGAACGCUAGCUACAGGCUUAACACAUGCAAGUCGCGGGGCAGCAUGGGGGUUGCUUGCAACCCCUGAUGGCGACCGGCGCACGGGUGAGUAACGCGUAUCCAACCUGCCCUUCACCACGGGAUAACCCGGCGAAAGUCGGACUAAUACCGUAUGUUGUCCAUUGACGGCAUCCGAUUUGGACGAAAGGCUUAGCGGUGAGGGAUGGGGAUGCGUCCGAUUAGCUCGACGGCGGGGUAACGGCCCACCGUGGCUACGAUCGGUAGGGGUUCUGAGAGGAAGGUCCCCCACACUGGAACUGAGACACGGUCCAGACUCCUACGGGAGGCAGCAGUGAGGAAUAUUGGUCAAUGGGCGGAAGCCUGAACCAGCCAAGUAGCGUGCAGGAUGACGGCCCUAUGGGUUGUAAACUGCUUUUAUGCGGGGAUAAAGUGGCCCACGUGUGGGUUUUUGCAGGUACCGCAUGAAUAAGGACCGGCUAAUUCCGUGCCAGCAGCCGCGGUAAUACGGAAGGUCCGGGCGUUAUCCGGAUUUAUUGGGUUUAAAGGGAGCGUAGGCCGCCCCUUAAGCGUGUUGUGAAAUGCGGGUGCUCAACAUCCGACUUGCAGCGCGAACUGGGGGGCUUGAGUGCGCCGAAAGUAGGCGGAAUUCGUGGUGUAGCGGUGAAAUGCUUAGAUAUCACGAAGAACUCCGAUUGCGAAGGCAGCUUACUGUAGCGCAACUGACGCUGAUGCUCGAAAGCGUGGGUAUCGAACAGGAUUAGAUACCCUGGUAGUCCACGCGGUAAACGAUGGAUGCUCGUUGUCGGCCUGUGUGGUCGGUGACCAAGCGAAAGCGUUAAGCAUCCCACCUGGGGAGUACGCCGGCAACGGUGAAACUCAAAGGAAUUGAC